rnacentral:rRNA from 1 species
AGCAGCCGCGGUAAUUCCAGCUCCAAUAGCGUAUAUUAAAGUUGUUGCAGUUAAAAAGCUCGUAGUUGAAUUUCGGGGUUCAUCCGUUGGUCGGGCUUUUUGGUCUGUACUGGCGUGAUGGAUUCCUACCUUCUGAAUAACCAGCAUGUCAUUAAUUUGGUGCGCUGGGGAAGCAGGACUGUUACCUUGAAAAAAUUAGAGUGCUUAAAGCAGGCUAUCGCCUGAAUACAUUAGCAUGGAAUAAUGAAAUAGGACGGCAUGGUUCUAUUUUGUUGGCUUCUAGGAUCACCGUAAUGAUUAAUAGGGAUAGUUGGGGGCAUUAGUAUUCAAUUGUCAGAGGUGAAAUUCUUGGAUUUAUUGAAGACUAACUUCUGCGAAAGCAUUUGCCAAGGAUGUUUUCAUUAAUCAAGAACGAAAGUUAGGGGAUCGAAGACGAUCAGAUACCGUCGUAGUCUUAACCAUAAACUAUGCCGACUAGGGAUCGGACGAUGUUAAUUUUUUAAUGACUCGUUCGGCGCCU